GGGGCCAUAAGAGCCAUGUAGCUGGCCCAGCCUCCCAGCACCCACUCCUACCCUCCUCCCGCCCGGCCGGGACCCCCCGCGAAGGUCACAGAGGACAUUAUGGGCCUGGGCUGAGCAGCUCACUAAGGACUUGGGUGAAUUUUUUUUAGUGUCCCAACGGUUCUUCUCUGGGUCCGGGGCUGAAUUCUGCUUUGACUCUGCGCUGAUCCUUUGUUGGGUUCUGUUUGGCAUCUGGUACUGCGUGGGAUCUGGUUUGGUGUCUAGGCCCAGCUCUGUUUGGGAUCCAUUUGGGGUGGGGAUCUCUUUGGGAUCUAGUUUGGUGUCUGGGCUUGAUUCCGUUCAGAUUUGGUUUGGUUUCUGAGUCUGGUUUUGCUUGAGAUCUGAUUAGGGAUCUGAGCCAGGUUCUGUUUGGGAGCCAGUUUAGGUUGAGUUCUGGUUGGGAUUUGUCUGGAUAUAGAUUUGUUUGGAAUCCUGUUUGGAAACUGGGCCGGGUCCUGUCUGGGAUCCAAUCUGGAGCCUGGGCCAGAUUCUGUUUGGGAUCCAGCCUGGGCCAGGUUCUGUAUGAGAUCCAGUCUGAGCCUGGGCCGGGUCCUGUCUGGGAUCCAGUUUGGAGCCUGGGCCGGGUUCUCUACACAGCUACUUAGCUGCUCCCAGUCACACAAAGCAG